GGCUGCGUGGUGUAGUGGUAACAUCUCUGCUCUCUCUAGUGGUACAAUACACAAUGCCAUCGGCUUGGUGUAUUGUAUAACAAGUCCGCGGACGACGCGGGUUCGGAUCCCGCCGCAACCA